UUGCUCUUCAACGAGGAAUCCCUAGUAAGCGCAAGUCAUCAGCUUGCGUUGAUUACGUCCCUGCCCUUUGUACACACCGCCCGUCGCUACUACCGAUUGGAUGGCUCAGUGAGGCUUUCGGACUGGCACCAGGAUAUCGGCAACGGUGACCUAGAGCUGGGAAGUUAUCCAAACUCGGUCAUCUAGAGGAAGUAAAAGUCGUAACAAGGUCUCCGUUGGUGAACCAGCGGAGGGAUCAUUAGCGAGUUCUAAACUCCCAACCCUCGUGGACAUACCUAUGUUGCUUCGGCGGGGCGCCCUGAACGGGGCGCGGCCCUCUCGGGGGCACCCGCCGGUGGCACGCACACAAACUCUGCCUUCUGAAGAAUUCUGAGUAGGCUAUAAAUAAGUCAAAACUUUCAGCAACGGAUCUCUUGGUUCUGGCAUCGAUGAAGAACGCAGCGAAAUGCGAUAAGUAAUGUGAAUUGCAGAAUUCAGUGAAUCAUCGAAUCUUUGAACGCACAUUGCGCCCGCUAGUAUUCUGGCGGGCAUGCCUGUUCGAGCGUCUUUUAAACCCUCGGGUCCGGCAGAUCUAGGUCUGCCGGGGCCGGUGUUGGGACUCCGCGGCUGCCGCGGGUCCUUAAAUACAGUGGCGGACCCUCCUGUGGCCCUGGCGUAGUAAAAUGCCUCGCCUUCGGUUGCAGGACGGAGCUUGCCCAGAGACACAUCUCUUCAAAUCUGGACCUCGAAUCUGGUAGGAAUACCCGCUGAACUUAAGCAUAUCAAUAAGCGGAGGA
rnacentral:rRNA from 1 species